UUCUCUCCACCGAGCUCUGGUUUCCUAACGUCAGACUCAUUCAAUCCGUUGUCUGUACCCACUUAUGUCUACACGUGGAAAGAUCUUAUUCACUGCCGACACCUGUGCUUUUACUUACCGUCAGAUACGACGCUUUUUGUCAUGGAUUUAAUGGCCUGCGGAGUAUGUUGACCAUUCGUGCUUGCGUUCACACUUCACACCUUGAGUAGGUAAAGG
rnacentral:lncRNA from 1 species